GGCCCCCGUGGUGAAAAUUCACCCUGUGGUGCCGUCUCAUCUGCCGUCUCAGGCUGGAGAGGGGACCAGUCGGGGGUCGCGGAAGAGUAACGAGGGGACAUCACCGAAGAAAGCCCCCGCUCCUGUUCUUCAUCCCGAAAGUCGAUCAGGAGAGGCGAGGAGGCCGUGGGUCCCCCUGGUGAUCCCAGAGGAAGCCUCCUGCGAGAUGCAGGAAUAAGCUGGGUGGGCGGAGCCUCGCCGAGGGUGUCCUGGGCAGGCCCGCUGUCCGUGGCCCGGGGCUGUGUCACCCUCUGCUCCUUGGGUGGUUCCGGUCGACGAGGAAGGAAGAUCGGGGCAACCCGUGCUGGAGGGAUUGCAUCCCGAUCCACCUCAGGAGACCAAUCUGGAGCCACGGCGUCGGUGCUGGUAGCCACCGAGACCCGGGCGACGACCCGAGCCGGAGGGCUGCCAGCCCGUACCACCCCAGGAGCCCCGUCAGGGCCCGUAGGGUCAGUAUGGGUGCCCACCGAUACCCGGGUGGCGGUCUGGACCGGCAAGGACUGGGCCGGGCGUACCACCUCCGCGUUGACAGGGGGGUCGGCGAAGGCCGCGACGAUCAGAGCCUCGGCCUUCCCGAGGGUGUCCCCCAUCAGUCUGCGUCCCAGAUGUUUCUUGGCCCAUGUAGAGGCCAGCUGAAAAGCGGGUCUCCAAACCUCGUCAAUAAAACUGGUUAUCUUGUCCAA